rnacentral:rRNA from 1 species
AGACCCGAAACCCGGUGAUCUAGCCAUGGGCAGGUUGAAGGUUGGGUAACACUAACUGGAGGACCGAACCGACUAAUGUUGAAAAAUUAGCGGAUGACCUGUGGCUGGGGGUGAAAGGCCAAUCAAACCGGGAGAUAGCUGGUUCUCCCCGAAAGCUAUUUAGGUAGCGCCUCGUGAACUCAUCUCCGGGGGUAGAGCACUGUUUCGGCUAGGGGGCCAUCCCGGCUUACCAACCCGAUGCAAACUGCGAAUACCGGAGAAUGUUAUCACGGGAGACACACGGCGGGUGCUAACGUCCGUCGUGAAGAGGGAAACAACCCAGACCGCCAGCUAAGGUCCCAAAGUCAUGGUUAAGUGGGAAACGAUGUGGGAAGGCCCAGACAGCCAGGAUGUUGGCUUAGAAGCAGCCAUCAUUUAAAGAAAGCGUAAUAGCUCACUGGUCGAGUCGGCCUGCGCGGAAGAUGUAACGGGGCUAAACCAUGCACCGAAGCUGCGGCAGCGACACUUUAGUGUUGUUGGGUAGGGGAGCGUUCUGUAAGCCGUUGAAGGUGUCCUGUGAGGGGUGCUGGAGGUAUCAGAAGUGCGAAUGCUGACAUAAGUAACGAUAAAGCGGGUGAAAAGCCCGCUCGCCGGAAGACCAAGGGUUCCUGUCCAACGUUAAUCGGGGCAGGGUGAGUCGACCCCUAAGGCGAGGCCGAAAGGCGUAGUCGAUGGGAAACGGGUUAAUAUUCCCGUACUUGGUGUUACUGCGAAGGGGGGACGGAGAAGGCUAUGUUGGCCGGGCGACGGUAGUCCCGGUUUAAGCGUGUAGGCUGGUUUUCCAGGCAAAUCCGGAAAAUCAAGGCUGAGGCGUGAUGACGAGGCACCACGGUGCUGAAGCAACAAAUGCCCUGCUUCCAGGAAAAGCC